UGUGUGGGGAGAGGGAUUCACCUUUUCCAAGGGAAGAAAAUCCAAAAUAGACUACCUGUAAAACCCAGGCAGCUUUGGCUUUAUCUGAUGGAACUAUUUGUUACAACCAAGGCUUGGUUGCCGCCUUUGCCAAUUAGUGGACCCUUAAUUUCCCCUCACUUCUGUCUCCUUAAAUACCCCAUAGGAUCAUUGGCUAAAGAAGCAAAAACUAGGGAGACUCACUUGAAGCUCCCAUAGAGAAAAGUCAUUUUGUGUCAAGCAAAAGAAGCAGAUAAUUAUUCCCCUCCUCUUACUCUUUUUGUCCCUCUGAUGUAUAAUUAAGGGUAUGUAGCUCUUGAUUAUGCUGUCAAAUGGGACCAUUUUCUUUUCUGUCUCAACUCAUCACACACACAUACUUGUCAAGUUCAAGCUGAUGCUCCUUGGUGGAUGUUGUUAUCCACUCUGAUUGGAGAAAUGAUGUGCUUGCCUGGCUCCCUGAAUGCCAUGUAAGAAGCUUGUCAAAAAGAAUUGACAGCCUUUUUAUUUGGCAUGAGGGGAGUCAUGCAGGCUAUUUAGUCACCCAAUCAGAUAUGAGGAGAUCCAUCAGGAAGUACAAGCCUUUUCAGUACAUUGAAAUCAUGUUGGCCAGGUUUGUCACUGUUUUUCAUAGUGCCAUGUUGUGGUCAGUUGCUGCUAAAACACUACAGCAAAUGGAUAAUAGAGAUAACAAGUUUAAUUCAGCUGUGAACAAGUAUGUGAAAUCAAAUUCUGGAUAUUGACCAGAAUGAGAAAUGAUUCAACUGCUGCAAGCUCAAUUCUAUAACACAUACUAUCCAAGUCAUUUGAUCAGUAUCAGUGUUAUAGGCAAUUAAUAUAAGAUGAUCAAAUAUGUAAAGUUCACAUUCUCUCUUUCUUUCUCUUGAAGUGAAACAAAAUUUCAUGUCACUAUUAUACUUUGUCUACUACAUGUUAUUUGGAAGGUUCUAUACUUCCAUGUUUCUUUUUCUUACCUUACAUAUACUCCACAGCCUCCAACUGCCCUAGCUACUGCAUGAAACUCAGCUGCAUCAUGGAGACUCUAGAAAAUGUCGUUGAAAGAUUUAAUCAGAUUCUGGAUACAAGUUUAUAUAGUGGAUAAAAUAUUGAGGAUGCCAUAGCAUACAUAGAACAUGUCCCAAUCUGGUACAACAAUUUCACCAAAGAAUAUGCUGUUGAAAGCUACAGCAGCUAUAUGUAGACACUGAGUUGUGGGGGUUUUCAGAUAAUAAUCAUCAGAUGUUCGUGUGAUUGCACUUUGUUUUGAGCUGUCAAAUUCAAUGGGGCAACAUCAUUAUCUCAAGGGAAUAAUUCAUUAAAGUAGAAGAAAUUGAAACAGUACUGAAAAGUAUACUAGAGGAAUCCUACCAAAAAGUGCAUGCUCACAUGAAUGAUCUUUACAAGUCUUACAGUUACUGUUGAAAUUACACUAGAAGGAGUAGGGAGACAUUGUGCAAAUAAAUACUAACAAUUUAUUGGCGUACUAUGCAUGAUUCAUUUCUUAAUGUACAAAACAGAUAUUACUGAUUCUUAAUGCCUAAGUAUCGAUAUAAUUUGGUAGAAGUCAGUGCUUAAAGCCUUAAUGUACUGGUAAAUGGAGUCUGCGUUAUGACCAUGCAGUAGAUUAUGCUAUUGUCCUGAAAGUUAGAUGAUAUGGACUUUUCAAGCUCCUGUUGGAAGUGUCUAGUAAGAAUAACACGACCACCUAGACCACUUGAAAUUGUUUCCAGUAUGUUCUGAACAUCAACCUUAACUCUAUCAAUGUUUUGAGAGACAAGAUAACUGUGUAGAUCAUCAUAAAAGUCUGAAAUUUUAGCUGGAUCAAUGACACUGAUACCGUACUUCUCCAUGACACCGAUAUUGUUUGAAACACAUAUAGAGGAAGUAUAAAUCAAAAUUAACAAAGAUACUAAUAGUUGUAAAUUUGUUGUCUCCUAUAUAUUUCAAUAGCUGAGCUACUUCACUAGAUUAAAUGGAUGGUCUGCAAUAUUCAUGAAAACAGCAUUUAGGGACUGGGAUGUAACUGAUGCCGGGUCUCAUACAAAAUUCAGAGAGAACUCUAUUUCACAAACAAAAAGAACAAGAAUAGAAAGAAAAAAAGGCAACUACACUUUAUCAGGAACAAUUGGCUUUAUAUUUUCUUUUCAUUUCAUUUCCUAUUUCUUAGCUAAGUUGGCUCAUAUAUAUAGGCUUUGCUUUUGCCACAACUGACAUCCAUUUUCCUAUUAAGUGAAGUCAUUUGACUCCAUACUUAAUCUCUGUUGAUAUAUCAUAAAUUGAUAUAAGUGAUUGUUUAGGUACUUAGGAUCUCAUAUUGCAAGUAAAGGACUCUCAAUAAUAUCACUUUCUCACUUCCUUGGAUUGCAGAGUUGAUGCCUAAUAGACUGAGAAGAUGUUGUAACCGGAUGGUCCGUGUGUAUUGUUAGAGGAACGGAGUUUUAAAGGGAAAAAUGGAUAAUAUUUAAAUAUGCUGAAGUCUUUACCACUUUCAACACAAAUCUCAAGUUCAUUAGAUGAAUUUCCUUGCAAGCUGCUUCUAAAUUCACCAUCUAGAACUGGCAAGAAAAUGAAAUAUGAAUUAUGCUCCUUGGAUGAUUGUGAAUUUCCUUCCCUUGCUUCAAUGAGAAACAUCUGAGUUCAAUAGGAAUAUCUCUCCCUUAGUUUCCUACUCGCAGUAUCAUCCACCAAAUUUUAAAUCUGUAUAGGAACAGUAAUCUGACAUCCUUGCAUCACUCAAAACAAAUCUUCGAAAACUUUUAUUGCAUUUGCAUUAUAAGCAGUUUCAUAGGCAGACUUAGUAGAAUAAUUUAUCAAGAGUUCUGGUUGACAUACAAAGACCCAGAGACGAGUAGUGGCUAUUGGAUUCCUAAUAUAAUGUAGCCGAGCAGUUUUUAGAUAGACAUUUUUUUUUCCAUUUGCUGUAAAAAACAACAACAGUGUGGUUUGUCAUUGUAUUCAGGGCUUAAACAAAAGCAAAAUGAACAUCAACAACUUCUAACAGCUCCUAGCAGGCAUGCCAAAUAUAGGGUGGAGUAGUCAUUUUCACUAUUGAAGUUGCUAUUGCCUUCUUAGUGUGAAUUAAGAACCUGAAUCCAUUAUACUUUCAGGCUUUUACAAAAGCAACUUUAACUUCUUUUAGAAGAAAGCAACACAAAUAAUCGAAAGAAUAUAGACAAAGAGGUAAACAGUUCAUAUGUUAUGUUUAUAUCUAAUCGUUGAAUUUGAGUGCAUUUGGAAACAUUCAUCCUUAUUUUCUUUAAUUUUGUCAUUUGGAACUUGUGAUGUGCGUUUUUGUUUAUUUAUUUGAAUUUUAGGAAGUUUACCCAUGAAAGGCUUGACAUGAGAGACUUGGAAAAGCAAAGGAAUGAUAACAAGCAUUGGAACAUGAAGACUACAAAUCAAAACUAGAGGCAACCAUGAUUACUAGGACACCUUAAAUUCUCAACUCGAGACAUCCAAGGGAAAUCUGCUGGUCGUACGACAGUCGUGGAGUGUGAUAGAUUUUAGUUUUCAUUAGUUAUUUUUGUCUUUUAACUGUUUUAGGCUUGGACCCUUUUGAUACCUUGAAUAUAAAUAGAUCUUUUAGGACUGAAACCUAUGGGGGGCAAUCGUCUUCUUCUCCUUCUUCCUUCAGUUUGAAUGUUUCUUCUUUAUUUUACUUUCUCUGUGACCAUGUUUGACUAAUCUCAUCAUUCUAGAAUUGGUACUUAGUUAGCCCUUGAUGACUAUUGUUCGUUUUAAUUGAAUUGCGUUUGUGUUUAA